CCUACGGGAGGCAGCAGUGAGGAAUAUUGGUCAAUGGGCGCGAGCCUGAACCAGCCAAGUCGCGUGAGGGAAGACGGCCCUAUGGAUCGUAAACCUCUUUUGUCGGGGAGCAAAAGACGCCACGCGUCGCGUCCUGAGAGUACCCGAAGAAAAAGCAUCGGCUAACUCCGUGCCAGCAGCCGCGGUAAUACGGAGGAUGCGAGCGUUAUCCGGAUUUAUUGGGUUUAAAGGGUGCGCAGGCGGAAUUUCAAGUCGGCGGUAAAAUCGAGGGGCUCAACCCCUUCGAGCCGUUGAAACUGGUUGUCUUGAGUGAGCGAGAAGUAUGCGGAAUGCGUGGUGUAGCGGUGAAAUGCAUAGAUAUCGCGCAGAACUCCGAUUGCGAAGGCAGCAUGCCGGCGCUCAACUGACGCUGAUGCACGAAAGUGUGGGUAUCGAACAGGAUUAGAUACCCGUGUAGUC
rnacentral:rRNA from 1 species